rnacentral:tRNA from 1 species
AAUGAAGUGUCUGAAAAAGAGUUAUUUUGAUAGAAUAAAGCAUGUGUUUUGUCACCUUCAUUA